GCUGGGCAUGGUGGCGCAUGCCUGUAGUCCCAGCUACUCGGGAGGCUGAGGCAGGAGAAUUUCUUGAACCUGGGAGGUGGAGGUUGCAGUGAGCCAAGAUCGUGCCACUGCACUCCAGCCUGGUGACAGAGCGNNNNNNNNNNCAUUUAAAAAAAAAAAAAAAAAAAGUACAGUAUUAACAACUGCUAUCACUAAGGUUUUUUUUUUUUUUUUUGUAGACGGAGUCUGGCUCUGUCACCCAGGCUGGAGUGCAGUAGCGCAAUCUUGGCUCACUGCAACCUCUGCCUCUUGGGUUCAGUGAUUCUCCUGCCUCAG
rnacentral:SRP_RNA from 1 species